rnacentral:lncRNA from 1 species
GAGUCAUCAUGUGGGUAGUGAGGCCACCUAUACUGUAGGAACUCUAAUAGCCCCUCUGCUCCUUCAAAAGGCAAGUCCAGCUUAGAUGUUUUGCUAGCUGUGACAUUGCUCUUGAUGACUGUUGUGAACAGCCCCCACGGCGAAAAGUUCCUGAGAGGAUCUUCAUUUUGGAGCCCUGAGCCCAGGACUGUGCACAAGAGAUAAGGAUAAUGAGCUCUGACAUUCAGCAAUGAGUGAGGAUGACAUGGAAGAUCAUGGGGUUCUCUCCAAGGGUGGAAAUGCCAGCAGAGUGGGAAGAGGGUGAAGAGGUAACACAGCCUGCGAAGCCCAGGCUUUCCUCAUCAUGAUAUGGACAUAAUUUACACAGGACCCCCGAGGGUAAUUAAGCCAGCAAUUCCUUUGCCAGUAAAACGAGAAAAGCCAGCUCUCAGUAAAUUCUGAAUUCCACUACGGAUGUUGCAGAAACAGAACUCAAACAGCUGCAGUUUAUCUGUGCUGCCGAAUCGACUAUAAUUUGCUGCUACCCUCACCCUUAGCACACAGCAAUCAGUGUGCGAAAGUGUGGAAUUUUAAGAUGAUGAAUGUUUUAUUUCUUAAAAU